AGGCAGACUGUCGCGGGUCGGGAAAGCCGGCGCGAGGAAAGUCGGGACAGCACAGAGCACCAUACUUCUUAACAGGAAGGUGUCCGCAAGGGCAACAGCAAGUGCCACAGAAACAUACCGCCCUGAGCCCUGAGCUUGUCGAAGGGUCGAAGGGUAAGGGUGAAAACGCGAGGUAAGAGCUCACGCAUCGGGUGGCGACAUUCCGGUGAGGUAAACCUUAUGGGCUGCAAGUCCAAGUAUAGAGACAACGAAGCUUUCGGGCUUCAAGAGGGCUGCUCGUCCGUGUCUCAGGGUAGGGCGCUUGAGCCUGCGGGCGACCGCAGGUCUAGAGAAAUGACAGUCGCCCCGCAAGGGGAACAGAAU
rnacentral:RNase_P_RNA from 1 species